UACGGAGGGGGCUAGCGUUGUUCGGAAUUACUGGGCGUAAAGCGCACGUAGGCGGCUUUGUAAGUUAGAGGUGAAAGCCUGGAGCUCAACUCCAGAAUUACCUUUAAGACUGCAUCGCUUGAAUCGCGGAGAGGUGAGUGGAAUUCCGAGUGUAGAGGUGAAAUUCGUAGAUAUUCGGAAGAACACCAGUGGCGAAGGCGACUUACUGGACACAUAUUGACGCUGAGGUGCGAAAGCGUGGGGAGCAAACAGG
rnacentral:rRNA from 1 species